rnacentral:antisense_RNA from 1 species
CUUGAUCGAGCCGAGCCGCAGCGGAUGGGCGCGGUUCCGGCCGUAGGUGGCCAGCAGGGCCUGCGCUUC